rnacentral:lncRNA from 1 species
AAGCACAACCAAGUAAAGUCUAAUUUGUAAAACAGAGAAUUAACCGUGUGGCACAACAUACAUAUCUCUCAUGAAGAAGUCUCGCUUCCAGCCAAGAUACUAAAAGACAAGUCCAUGGGUACACUAGAAGUUUAUGGGCAUCAUGUUCUUCAAGUUCGCAUCAGUCUCCAAUGGCAGCACUUGUGCAACCUAACCCUCCCAUUUAAGAGAAUUAUUGCACACCAGGGAAAACCAAGUAAUUUAAAUUUGCAAAAAAAGAAUCUGCUUUAAUGAUUCGUAGCCUCUCAUG